GGUGAAGGUAGAAAAAGAGGUAGUUCAUGGUAGAUUUCUGGACUCAGAAGUAGGAGAGAAGAUUGAAGGUACUCUGAGGGCCAGGUUUGGGAGAUACGCUUUACUUCUUUUAUCCCAGGGACAGCAGCAGCAGCAGCUUUGAAGGACACUGCAAGGUCUUGCUCAAGAAAGAUGUCCUCCCUUCCCCUGCUAGUCAUUGGUGACUGCGAUUCCCAGCCGCCAUUGCUCUUUAAA
rnacentral:lncRNA from 1 species